rnacentral:rRNA from 1 species
CAGUAGCCACGGUAAUACGUAGGUGGCAAGCGUUGUCCGGAAUUAUUGGGCGUAAAGGGCUCGCAGGCGGUUCCUUAAGUCUGAUGUGAAAGCCCCCGGCUCAACCGGGGAGGGUCAUUGGAAACUGGGAAACUUGAGUGCAGAAGAGGAGAGUGGAAUUCCACGUGUAGCGGUGAAAUGCGUAGAGAUGUGGAGGAACACCAGUGGCGAAGGCGACUCUCUGGUCUGUAACUGACGCUGAGGAGCGAAAGUGUGGGGAGCGAACAGGAUUAGAUACCCCCGUAGUCCCUGUCUCUUAUAC